GAUGAACGCUGGCGGCGUGCCUAAUACAUGCAAGUCGAACGAGAGCGCCCGGUGCUUGCACUGGUCAAUCUAGUGGCGAACGGGUGAGUAACACGUGGGUAGCCUGCCCAUCAGAGGGGGAUAACAUUCGGAAACGGAUGCUAAAACCGCAUAGGUCUUCGAACCGCAUGGUUCGAAGAGGAAAAGAGGCGCAAGCUUCUGCUGAUGGUUGGACCCGCGGUGCAUUAGCUAGUUGGUGAGGUAACGGCUCACCAAGGCCGCGAUGCAUAGCCGACCUGAGAGGGUGAUCGGCCACAUUGGGACUGAGACACGGCCCAAACUCCUACGGGAGGCAGCAGUAGGGAAUCUUCCGCAAUGGACGCAAGUCUGACGGAGCAACGCCGCGCGAGUGAAGAAGGUUUUCGGAUCGUAAAACUCUGUUGUUAGGGAAGAAGAAGUGCUAGAGUAACUGUUAGCGCCUUGACGGUACCUAACCAGAAAGCCACGGCUAACUACGUG
rnacentral:rRNA from 1 species